AAAAAUGGAGCCAAUACAGCACCCUCUAUCCACGCAGCCAGCGUCUGCCUCCAGGCUCAUUUCUUCUACAAGGAUGUCAGUGAUCGAUCGGAGAAAGCGUCUCCGGAGCCCGCACCUGGCAGCAUCCUGUUUCCAGUUUACCGCGACAGAUAAUCGCAACCCUAGGAAUGGAGGUAUGGCCUAUAAACCCCGCUGUGGAAGGCAAGAUCCGCUUCUCUGCAAGGUUUAGAACUGAGAGGAAAGCGCAAGCGGGAAUCCCAGCUCUGAAUCAGAGAGGGGAAAGCCGCAGCCUAGCGUUCGCAGCCUGAUAUCGCCCCAAGGCCACCAGAGAGGAGUCGCCCACCCUGCGCCCUGUUUUCCACGCCUGGCCCAGCUCACCAGACACUGCAUCCUCGCUCCUGGCCGCGCAGGUUAUUUGGUUGCUGCUGAGAAGCCUGGAGGGAUCUCACACCGGACCAGGCAAAGCCCCUCCUGUUCCGCGGAGCAAAGACGACGUGUUCCCCACGGAUUCACAGCUGAAUUCCUCCUGCUCCGCCCCGGCUCCGGCCCCGCCCCUUACUCCUCUACCAGCCUCCCCCUACCCACCAACGCAGAGGUAUAAAGGGAGAUUAAAUAGUACUCAUCUUUUCCCGUCUUCAACGCGUUUCGCCGUUUUCAGAGGUUUCAACUGGGAAGACUGAGCAAGUUUUUGGAAAAAGAUACAUUGUUUUCAUUUUCAUUAUACAGACAAAGAAAGAGAAAGGAGUGGGUGGGAAGACAUGAAUUGCCUGACUGCGUGGUGCUUGGAGGAAUGGCCGGCUGCAUUGUGGUCCACGCAGAGUAUUAAAUGAUUUUUGAGAAAUGUUAGUUUCCCCAGUUACCGUCCCGGAAAACCCAGAUAUUUUGAGGCUAAAUUUAACCAAUAGAAAAUUUGCAAAGCAAAUGUGUAUUUUUUUUUUUAAUUUCUUAAAUUUUCUUUUAUUUUUAAACUUUACAAAAUUGUAUUAGUUUUGCCAAAUAUCAAAAUGAAUCCGCCACAGGUAUACAUGUGUAUUUGUAUUUAUUUGUAUCCAGAAUCAAAUUAUGUAUUUAAACCGUCAAUGCUGUAAUGAUCUCUCCCUUAUUGAUGUGACUGGGUUUGUGUGGUUUUUUUUUCUCUGCUGUGAGAAAUUUUCUUCCACUUGCAUUGAUGAUGAGGAUAUUUCUUAUUUUAACAAGCUUCGGAGUUCUUGGCUCUUAAACAAAAGACAGAUCAAUGAAGUGUUCAAUUCCUAUAGCCUUUUCUGUUUUCCCGACCACCACCCCUGACCACCACACCUACGACAAGAAAAAACAAACACUGAAAGGACUAAAAUAUUCAUGGAGUGGCAAACAAGAUACAUAAGAGAAAGGUAAUUUAUAUAGCGAAAUUAAAGGUCAAAUUAAGGAAACUAAAAAAUAACUCUUAAAGCUUCAAACAUGACAAGUAGAGACACCAAGAAAAAGAAUCAAAGUAACUUUAAAUGUCACAAAGCAGCGCCAGAUGCAAGAAGGCAAUGAAUUCACUUUCAAAAUAUGGAAGAAAAAAUAACUCUGAACUCUACUUUGUCUUUUAUAACAACUACUACAAAGGAGACUCAGGUUCAAUCCCUGGGUCAGGAAGAAAAUGGCAACCCACUCCAAUAUUCUU